rnacentral:rRNA from 1 species
GACGAACGCUGGCGGCGUGCUUAACACAUGCAAGUCGAACGGAAAGGCCCUGCUUUUGUAGGGUGCUCGAAUGGCGAACGGGUGAGUAACACGUGAGUAACCUGCCCUUGACUUUGGGAUAACUUCAGGAAACUGGGGCUAAUACCGGAUAGGAGCUCCUGCUGCAUGGUGGGGGUUGGAAAGUUUCGGCGGUUGGGGAUGGACUCGCGGCUUAUCAGCUUGUUGGUGGGGUAGUGGCUUACCAAGGCUUUGACGGGUAGCCGGCCUGAGAGGGUGACCGGCCACAUUGGGACUGAGAUACGGCCCAGACUCCUACGGGAGGCAGCAGUGGGGAAUAUUGCACAAUGGGCGGAAGCCUGAUGCAGCAACGCCGCGUGCGGGAUGACGGCCUUCGGGUUGUAAACCGCUUUCGCCUGUGACGAAGCGUGAGUGACGGUAAUGGGUAAAGAAGCACCGGCUAACUACGUG